GUGUCAGCAGCCGCGGUAAUACGUAGGGGGCAAGCGUUGUCCGGAAUUAUUGGGCGUAAAGCGCGCGCAGGCGGUUCAUUAAGUCUUCUGUUUAAAGCCAGGGCUCAACUCUGGUACGCAGGGGAAACUGGUGGACUGGAGUGCAGGAGAGGAAAGUGGAAUUCCACGUGUAGCGGUGAAAUGCGUAGAGAUGUGGAGGAACACCAGUGGCGAAAGCGGCUCUCUGGCCUGUAACUGACGCUGAGGCGCGAAAGCGUGGGGAGCAAACAGGAUUAGAUACCCUGGUAGUCC
rnacentral:rRNA from 1 species